GUACAAAUCCACUGAACACACUCUGGAUGCCGGAAGCUACUGAGGUUGCUUAGGCGCCUGCAGCCAUCAACUGAUCUACGUGCCUGGGAAGGGGCAAAGCUGACACAGACUACUCGUUCAUGUCAGCUGUUCCUGUUAGUGUGCCGAUUUCACAAUGUGAAUGGGUGAAGUGCUCAGAGGAGGAAAGUUGAAGUUUUCAUGUAAACUAAGUAGCCACACUCAAAGCUGAGUUACUAACAGAGACUAUCAAGGUACAUGCUGAAGUCUGGAAGAGAACAGCAGCCCUUGAAUGACCAUGGCUAUUGGAGGAACUUCCCUGGCAAGUGCAAUGUGGCCAUCUUACUGAGAAGGUCUGCGGAUGCGAAGCCAUGUAGAGACCUGGAUCCUCACCACGCCAGAGGUCUAAUGGCAGAAACUGAUGGAGGCAGGAUGCUCAGACCAGCCUGGCAAGGUAGCCCUGAAGCAGGGAUCAUAACCAUCAUUUGCUGAAGGAGUGGGUGGAUGGAUGACCACACUAGACCACGACUGCAGGGCUGACGGCUGGCUCCUGCCCUUGCUUCCUAUUGAGGGGCCAGAUGGGGGAAUCCCAUGGCUUCUGCAGUGUGUGCCCCCGAUACCAUCAUCAUGACUAGCCUCUCCACAUGCUAUUUCCAAGGAACGGUCAGCAGAUACACAGACUACGUAUGAAGGAGUCUCCUGUCGGGGCACCCACUCCCUGCUGGCUCUUGUGGUUUGAAUGAGAAAUGCAUCACCUAGGCUCAUGUAUUUGAACACCUGGUUCCCAGAGAGUGAUGAUGUUUGGAGAAGUUACCUUUGGGAGGUACACCCUGGCUGGAGGAAGUACAUCGAAGGAUUUGAGAAUCUAUAGCCACCUCCUGCUCUCCAUCUCUGCUUCCUGUGUGUGGCUGAGAUGUGAUCUCUCUGCUUCCUGGCCCUGCCACCCACAUCUGUACCUCCCAGGCUAUUUGUUAUGGGCUCUCCUGAAACCACAGGCCAAAUUAAACUUGCUGUUCUAG